GCGGGAGUAGUUCAAUUUUAGAACACUUUUCUUCCUGAAAAGAGGUAUAGGUGCAAGUCCUAUCUUCCGCUCCA
rnacentral:tRNA from 1 species